CGUUCGUGCGCGCGCUGCUGCUGCCCCCUGGCGGGCUCCGCCUCACGGCGAUCCGGGGAGCGGGCUACGGCCCCUGGGCCUGCUCUGUGAGGGCGCAGACGGCCAGAGGCGCCGGGAGGGAUUUUGUGACAGGAGGAGAUAUGCCUUAAUUCAGGGCUGAGCAAGGCCGCCCACACCGGUCGACAGCGGAGCUUCCUUGGCUCCGCAAGCUGUCCUCGGUACCGUGGCAGGGCGUUGGCUUGCCAAACCCCGUCUGCGAAGCACAUCUAUACAUGCUUUCAGUUACGGGCUGCCCUGCCUGCCUGUGUCCGUGUAUGACUGAGUCCUUGCAGCAGUUCCUGCUGCAGUACCAUGGAGAACAAAGGUACCCAAAACAAAAGGAAAAAAUAAAAACAUGUGAAACAGCAGUUUUUCAGAGGAUGGCUGAUCUUCAUCAGACAUUAUAGAAAACAGCUUCCUUUGCUUUCAGGCAUGCUGUCUGAGAACAGGGAACUGAUAUGCAAACCAGCCUGUGCUGCUCCAGAAUUUGCACGCAAACUGAAAGAGAACUCCUCAAGGCUCCAGAUUUUUUUCCAGGAAAAAGACUGGGACAAAAGGCUCUGGUGGCCCUAAAGGCCUGGCAGUGGGUGAAAUGAGCCUUUCACCUGGGCACAGAGAGUUUAUCUCUGGCAUGGAGUUGGCAGUGCCUAAAAGCCUGUUAGUAUUACUGAUGGCCAGUUGGCCAGCACCUCUGGAAAUGUUUUGGUGGCUUUCUGUGAAUUCAAAGGGGCUGGGAGCAUAUUGGUCAGUUCUGACUGUUUUGUCAGGGAGGUGCUGGAGAACUGGCCACGGAAAUGGAGCACCUCGCUGUGCCUGAAAAAACAAUUGUUGCAGUUAAAUAGGGCAGGUGGCGUAGUAAGAACCUACAUCUUUCUGGUCACAUGCUUGCACUUGCUGCUAGAAGAGGGACCAGUAAGUUUCCCCACUACUUCACGCCUUUUGGAAGUUGUCCAGAUGGCUCAAGGGACUUGAGAUGACAUACA